rnacentral:rRNA from 1 species
UGCCUCAGUAACGGCGAGUGAAGCGGCAACAGCUCAAAUUUGAAAUCUGGCCGCAAGGUCCGAGUUGUAAUUUGCAGAGGAUGCUUUUGGCGAGGUGCCUUCCGAGUUCCCUGGAACGGGACGCCAUAGAGGGUGAGAGCCCCGUACGGUAGGACCACCGAGCCUUUGUAAAGCUCCUUCGACGAGUCGAGUAGUUUGGGAAUGCUGCUCUAAAUGGGAGGUGUACGUCUUCUAAAGCUAAAUACCGGCCAGAGACCGAUAGCGCACAAGUAGAGUGAUCGAAAGAUGAAAAGCACUUUGAAAAGAGGGUUAAAAAGUACGUGAAAUUGUUGAAAGGGAAGCAUUCAUGACCAGACUUGGGCUUGGUUGAACAUCCGGCGUUCUCGCCGGUGCACUCUGCCAGUCCAGGCCAGCAUCAGUUUGCCCCGGGGGACAAAGGCGGUGGGAAUGUGGCUCUCUCCGGGGAGUGUUAUAGCCCGCCGUGUAAUGCCCUGGGGCGGACUGAGGAACGCGCUUCGGCUCGGAUGCUGGCGUAAUGGUCAUCAAUGACCCGUCUUGAAACACGGACCAAGGAGUCGUCUUCGUAUGCGAGUGUUCGGGUGUCAAACCCCUACGCGAAAUGAAAGUGAACGUAGGUGAGAGCUUCGGCGCAUCACCGACCGAUCCUGAUGUUCUCGGA